rnacentral:rRNA from 1 species
GACGAACGCUGGCGGCGUGCUUAACACAUGCAAGUCGAACGGAAAGGCCCUGCUUUUGUGGGGUGCUCGAGUGGCGAACGGGUGAGUAACACGUGAGUAACCUGCCCUUGACUUUGGGAUAACUUCAGGAAACUGGGGCUAAUACCGGAUAGGAGCUCCUGCUGCAUGGUGGGGGUUGGAAAGUUUCGGCGGUUGGGGAUGGACUCGCGGCUUAUCAGCUUGUUGGUGGGGUAGUGGCUUACCAAGGCUUUGACGGGUAGCCGGCCUGGGAGGGUGACCGGCCACAUUGGGACGGAGAUACGGCCCAGACUCCUACGGGAGGCAGCAGUGGGGAAUAGUGCACAAUGGGCGGAAGCCUGAUGCAGCAACGCCGCGUGCGGGAUGACGGCAUUCGGGUUGUAAACCGCUUUCGCCUGUGACGAAGCGUGAGUGACGGUAAUGGGUAAAGAAGCACCGGCUAACUACGUG